rnacentral:rRNA from 1 species
AUUGAACGCUGGCGGCCGGCCUAACACAUGCAAGUCGAGCGGAGCGGCGGAAGGGUGAGUAAUGCCUAGGAAUCUGCCUGGUAGUGGGGGAUAACGUCCGGAAACGGGAGAUAAUACCGCAUACUAUCCGAUGAGCACAGAUGGGAUUAGCUAGUAGGUGGGGUAAUGGCUCACCUGGGCGACGAUCCCUAGCUGGUCUGAGAGGAUGACCAGCCACACUGGAACUGAGACACGGUCCAGACUCCUACGUGAGUCAGCGGUGGGAAAUAUGGCACAAUGGGCGCAAGCCUGAUGCAGCCAUGCCGCGUGUAUGAAGAAGGCCUUCGGGUUGUAAAGUACUUUCAUCGGUGAGGCGUUACCCGCAGAAGAAGCACCGGCUAACUCCGUGCCAGCAGCCGCGGUAAUUC